GACGAACGCUGGCGGCGUGCUUAACACAUGCAAGUCGAACGGUGAACCCCUUCGGAGGGGGUCAGUGGCGAACGGGUGAGUAACACGUGGGCAACUAACCCCCGGCUCUGGGAUAACCCAAAGAAGUUGGGGCUAAUACCGGAUGGUCACCGCUUCCCGAGUGGGGGGUGGUGGAGCGGGUGUUCGGCUAGGGAUGGGCCCGGGGCCUGGCAGAUUGCUGGGGGGGUAGGGCCCUACGAAGGCGACGGCGGGUCGCCGGCCUGGAAGGGUGACCGGCCACACUGCGACGGCGCCUACGGGCAGAAGCAGUGGGGAGGCAGCAGUGGGGAAUGUUGCGCAGAGGCCGCGAGGCUGACGCAGCGACGCCGCCUGGGGGAUUACAGCCUUCUGGUUGUAACCCUCUUUCCACAGGGACGAAGCGGAAGUGACGGUACCUGCAGAAGAAGCACCGGCUAACUACGUG
rnacentral:rRNA from 1 species